rnacentral:misc_RNA from 1 species
GAAAUGCGAUAAGUAAUGUGAAUUGCAGAAUUCCGUGAAUCAUCGAAUCUUUGAACGCACAUUGCGCCCUCUGGUAUUCCGGGGGCAUGCCUGUCCGAGCGUCAUUGCGAACCCCUCAAGCACGGCUUGUGUGAUGGGCCCUCCCGCGUCUUGGUCGUCAAGACGGGCCCGAAAUGCAGUGGCGGCUUCGCGGUUAUCCGAUCAGCCAGAGCGUAUGGGGACUCUCUCUCUUGUCACACGCCCGCGGCGCGGACCGACGCCUGUCGACCUUUAUUCAUCUUCUCUCGGUUGACCUCGGAUCAUGUAGGGAUACCCGCUGAACUGAAG